rnacentral:rRNA from 1 species
AAAUUACCCAAUCCUAAUACAGGGAGGUAGUGACAAGAAAUAACAAUACAGGACUUUUUGGUUUUGUAAUUGGAAUGAGUUAAGUAUAAACCCCUUUACAAGUAUCAAUUGGAGGGCAAGUCUGGUGCCAGCAGCCGCGGUAAUUCCAGCUCCAAUAGCGUAUAUUAAAGUUGUUGCAGUUAAAAAGCUCGUAGUUGGAUUUCUGUUAAUAAUUUAUAUAAAAUAUUUUGAUGAAUAUUUAUAUAAUAUUAACAUAAUUCAUAUUACUAUAUAUUUUAGUAUAUGAAAUUUUACUUUGAGAAAAUUAGAGUGCUUAAAACAGGCAUAUGCCUUGAAUACUCCAGCAUGGAAUAAUAUUUAAGAUUUUUAUCUUUCUUAUUGGUUCUAAGAUAAGAAUAAUGAUUAAUAGGG